rfam:Cardinium endosymbiont cEper1 of Encarsia pergandiella complete genome
GCGGGAGUAGCUCAGUUGGUAGAGCGGCAGCCUUCCAAGCUUCAGGUCGCGAGUUCGAUCCUCGUCUCCCGCU